rnacentral:rRNA from 1 species
CACGUAGGGUGCGAGCGUUGUCCGGAAUUAUUGGGCGUAAAGAGCUCGUAGGCGGUGUGUCGCGUCGGCCGUGAAAACCUGCAGCUUAACUGUGGGCUUGCGGUCGAUACGGGCAUCACUGGAGUUCGGCAGGGGAGACUGGAAUUCCUGGUGUAGCGGUGAAAUGCGCAGAUAUCAGGAGGAACACCGGUGGCGAAGGCGGGUCUCUGGAACGGUACUGACGCUGAGACGCGAAAGCGUGGGGAGCGAACAGG